GGGAAGCCCUCUUAUUUGUCUAAGAAUCGUGGACCUUUGCUGGGCUAUAGCAUUAUGUCAGCCAAUGGACCAAUGUGGGCUCAUCCGAGGAAGAUCGUUGCUCCCGAAUUCCACAUUGACGGUGAAGAAGUUGGCUUCAUUUAUUGGAAAACCAUUCCGGGAUGACGAGGGUGGACAAGGUGAUAUGGAGGUGCAGCUUUGAGAGGCUUAAGAAAAAAAACCGAGCCACUUCUUGGAAAAAGGUGCCAAAUUGUUCCUUUUCAAGCUCAGUACUGUUGGAGAUUGGAAGAACUAUACAAUAGAAGCCUAUGUAUACAUUAAAUAAAGGUCCCUUCAACAGUUCUACAUUGAGAAAGUUACAGAGCUAAUAAAUGUAAGAAGACUUGAUUUA